GAAAUGCGAUAAGUAAUGCGAAUUGCAGAAUUUCCGUGAGUCAUCGAAUCUUUGAACGCACAUUGCGCCCAUUGGUAUUCCGAUGGGCAUGCCUGUUCGAGCGUCAUUAUCCUCUCUCCAAACCCCCGGUUUGGGUGUUGGACCGAGUUGUGGCAACGCAACUGGUCUCAAAGACAAUGACGGCGUCCGUGGGACCCUCUUCGCAACGAGUCUUUCGAGGCACGCGGGGAGUUGCAAGGUCCCGUCGGGUCGGUCUAAACCUUUUAUUUCUCAGGUUGACCUCGGAUCAGGUAGGAAUACCCGCUGAACUUAA
rnacentral:misc_RNA from 1 species